rnacentral:siRNA from 1 species
UAUGGUUUCAUGACUGCAUCAU